AUGAAAAUGACAGCCAGGAGAAUCCCUCCUUCACACCUCUUUUUCAUCUCUGUCAGAUUGUCCUCUCCAAUUUUUGUACCCACGGCCAACCUUAAUACUGGACCUCAAGAGGGGCAUGUGGCCAACCAUGCCGGAGGACGCAGAGGAGUUGUUUGGGAAUGUUAUCAUCAGAGGACCCAAGAAGCAGCCCACCACGGAUGCAUGGACCAACCACGCAAGUCCAUUCUUGCAAUCCAUCUGUGGCGAGGGUUCAUGACAGACAAGCCAAUAGAUUUGGGGGUCCACUUCCCGGUGAAACAAAUGUUCAUUGCCGACAAUACGAAGACGAUGAUUGGUACAAUGAGGCUGCAAGGUUGCACCUUGGAGCUCAAAAUUUGGUGUCUUCGCAUUGAAGGAUCCAAUCCAUCGACUUUGGAGUUUGAACAUGUCACUUGUGAUGGGGAGAGGAAGAGAUGA
rnacentral:rRNA from 1 species